AUGAGGAAAAUAUUAUCCCCAAGCUAUUAUCACUUAUCUAUUCAUUUUAGAACUUGCCUAUUCUAUCUAACUAUAUAUACAGAAGACGACGAAAUCCAUAGAGAUGACCUGAUAUGGAAAUGGAUAGCCAAAGAUUUUAUCACACAUACAAAUCUGGAGAGUGGCUUAUUUGAGGUUGGGCGUGGUUACUUUAGUGAGUUGGUAAAUAGUGGCAUGAUCCAGCCUUGCAUAGAUUUUAAAGGUGUUGUGACACGUUUUUGUUUGCAUGAUAUGGUGCUUGGCCUCAUCUGUUCAUUAUCAAGUGAAGAAAACUUCGUUACAAUAUUGAAUCAUACUCAGGGUUAUUGCAUAUCUUGA
rnacentral:rRNA from 1 species